GACCACACGGGAAAAUGCAUUUUUCCGUGCGAACGUCUUAACCCAACCACACGGGAUAAUUCUCAUUAUCCCGUGCGGUC
rnacentral:pre_miRNA from 17 species